rnacentral:rRNA from 1 species
GACGAACGCUGGCGGCGUGCCUAAUACAUGCAAGUAGAACGCACAGUUUAUACCGUAGCUUGCUACACCAUAGACUGUGAGUUGCGAACGGGUGAGUAACGCGUAGGUAACCUGCCUGGUAGCGGGGGAUAACUAUUGGAAACGAUAGCUAAUACCGCAUAAUAUUGAUUAUUGCAUGAUAAUUGAUUGAAAGAUGCUAUUGCAUCACUACCAGAUGGACCUGCAUUGUAUUAGCUAGUAGGUGAGGUAACGGCUCACCUAGGCGACGAUACAUAGCCGACCUGAGAGGGUGAUCGGCCACACUGGGACUGAGACACGGCCCAGACUCCUACGGGAGGCAGCAGUAGGGAAUCUUCGGCAAUGGACGAAAGUCUGACCGAGCAACGCCGCGUGAGUGAAGAAGGGUUUCGGAUCGUAAAGCUCUGUUGUAAGAGAAGAACGGGUGUGAGAGUGGAAAGUUCACACUGUGACGGUAUCUUACCAGAAAGGGACGGCUAACUACGUG